rnacentral:rRNA from 1 species
UACGGAGGGGACUAGCGUUGUUCGGAAUUACUGGGCGUAAAGGGCUCGUAGGCGGCCAACUAAGUCGGAUGUGAAAUCCCCAGGCUUAACCUGGGAACUGCAUCCGAUACUGGAUGGCUUGAAUCCGGGAGAGGGAUGCAGAAUUCCAGGUGUAGCGGUGAAAUGCGUAGAUAUCUGGAGGAAUACCGGCGGCGAAGGCGGCAUCCUGGACCGGCAUUGACGCUGAUGAGCGAAAGCUAGGGGAGCAAACGGG